GUUUUAAAGAAGAUCUGGUGCUAUAGGAGUUGGAGAUUGAAGUUCAGCUUCAGUUUGCUCUCUAGGUUCAUCUUGUCCUUCACUCGGUGGGAAGUCUUCGAUGCUGGAAGAAAAGCCUUUGGAGGUGUCUAGCGCGGACUUUAAAGCGUGGUUGCCACCUUCCCAUGGCUAUAUCGAGACUGAAAAUGCCAUGGCCCUAUCUCUCUCUUUCCCUAAGUUGUUGGCUGUGAGCUCGAUCUCGUUUUCUCUCUAGAAGUGUUAGACAUGGCCGGGUGCUCUUUCUUGGCUUUGGAU
rnacentral:misc_RNA from 1 species